GCCCGCCCAUUCACACGCCUCUCACAUACCGCAACGCUGGCCACACCCCCUUUUGCCAGCCACAACGACCCUUUGGAAACCGCAGCUUCCCGGACGGAGUUGCCACUCGAGCGACCACUAAUCAUAACGAUAACACCUAAUCAACCGCAACUCGGCGGGCCAUCCAGCGAUACGGAAUUCGUAAUCCGGACGGAAUCCGGAAUUCCAAUCGAAAUCCGUAACCGAAUCGAGGAGCCAACCCACCCACUCACUCACUUACUCACUGCCACACCGCCCACAAAUCGAAACCGAAAAAGGUUUCGGGCUAAAUUAAAUGAAACGUUGAUAAGGCGCAAAAGGGCGCACUAAACGAUUAAAUCGACUGAGCGAGCAAAUGAGAGAGUGGCUUUCUCCGCCGGCCCGACCUCUACUGCCACCCAACCGCCACCCCAUGCCGGAGGUCACCCACUCGACUGGUGUUUUCCGCCCAACCACCCACACAACUGCCAUUGACAACUGACCCGUAGACCUGACGGAGGGCGGACGUGCCCGACUGACUUUCGGCACAAGUGCGCAGCGAUGGCGAAAAGUGAAUUUUCCGCUCGUCGCUCGCUUGGCUUUCC
ensembl:ncRNA lncRNA:CR45247 long non-coding RNA:CR45247